rnacentral:rRNA from 1 species
AGAGUUUGAUCAUGGCUCAGAUUGAACGCUGGCGGCAGGCCUAACACAUGCAAGUCGAACGGUAACAGGAAACAGCUUGCUGUUUCGCUGACGAGUGGCGGACGGGUGAGUAAUGUCUGGGAAACUGCCUGAUGGAGGGGGAUAACUACUGGAAACGGUAGCUAAUACCGCAUAACGUCGCAAGACCAAA